GGAAUCUUGCGCAAUGGGCGAAAGCCUGACGCAGCGACGCCGCGUGAGGGAUGAAGGCCUUCGGGUUGUAAACCUCUGUCAGGGGGGAAGAAUCCGGAGUCGGUGAAUAACCGACCCCACUGACGGUACCCCCAGAGGAAGCACCGGCUAACCCCGUGCCGGCAGCCGCGGUAAGACGGAGGGUGCAAACGUUGUUCGGAAUCACUGGGCGUAAAGGGCGCGUAGGCGGACUCGUAAGUCGGGAGUGAAAACUCGGGGCUCAACCCCGAGCCUGCUUCUGAAACUGCGAGUCUUGAGGACCGGAGAGGAAAGUGGAAUUCCUAGUGUAGCGGUGGAAUGCGUAGAUAUUAGGAAGAACACCAGUGGCGAAGGCGACUUUCUGGACGGUUCCUGACGCUGAGGCGCGAAAGCUAGGGGAGCAAACAGG
rnacentral:rRNA from 1 species